rnacentral:rRNA from 1 species
ACAUGCAAGUCGAACGGUGAACCUCUUUCGGGAGGGGAUCAGUGGCGAACGGGUGAGUAACACGUGAGCAACCUGCCCCUGGCUCUGGCAUAACUCCGGGAAACCGGGGCUAAUUCCGGAUAUGAGCUCCUGCCGCAUGGUGGGGGUUGGAAAGUUUUUCGGCUGGGGAUGGGCUCGCGGCCUAUCAGCUUGUUGGUGGGGUAGUGGCCUACCAAGGCGACGACGGGUAGCCGGCCUGAGAGGGCGACCGGCCACACUGGGACUGAGACACGGCCCAGACUCCUACGGGAGGCAGCAGUGGGGAAUAUUGCGCAAUGGGCGAAAGCCUGACGCAGCGACGCCGCGUGGGGGAUGAAGGCCUUCGGGUUGUAAACCUCUUUCAGCAGGGAAGAAGCGCAAGUGACGGUACCUGCAGAAGAAGCACCGGCUAACUACGUGCCAGCAGCCGCGGUAAUACGUAGGGUGCAAGCGUUGUCCGGAAUUAUUGGGCGUAAAGAGCUCGUAGGCGGUUUGUCGCGUCGGAUGUGAAAACCCAAGGCUCAACCUUGGGCCUGCAUUCGAUACGGGCAGACUAGAGUUCGGUAGGGGAGACUGGAAUUCCUGGUGUAGCGGUGAAAUGCGCAGAUAUCAGGAGGAACACCGGUGGCGAAGGCGGGUCUCUGGGCCGAUACUGACGCUGAGGAGCGAAAGCGUGGGGAGCGAACAGGAUUAGAUACCCUGGUAGUCCACGCCGUAAACGUUGGGCGCUAGGUGUGGGGAACCUUCCACGUUCUCCGUGCCGCAGCUAACGCAUUAAGCGCCCC